rnacentral:rRNA from 1 species
GAUGAACGCUGGCGGCGUGCCUAAUACAUGCAAGUCGGGCGAACGGACGAGAAGCUUGCUUCUCUGAUGUUAGCGGCGGACGGGUGAGUAACACGUGGAUAACCGACCUAUAAGACUGGGAUAACUUCGGGAAACCGGAGCUAAUACCGGAUAAUAUUUUGAACCGCAUGGUUCAAAAGUGAAAGACGGUCUUGCUGUAACUUAUAGAUAGUUCCGCGCUGCAUUUGCUAGUUGGUCAGGUAACGGAUUACCAAGGCAACGAUGCAUAGCCAACCUGAGAGCGUGAUUCGCCACACUAGAACGGAGACACGGUCCAGACUCCUACGGGCGGCAGCGGUAGGGAACCUUCACAAACGGGCGAAAGCCUGACGGAGCAACGACGAGUGAGUGAUGAAGGUCUUAGGAUCGUAAAACUCUGUUAUUGGGGAAGAACAUAUGUGUAAGUAACUGUGCACAUCUUGACGGUACCUAAUCAGAAAGCCACGGCUAACUACGUG